rnacentral:rRNA from 1 species
GAUGAACGCUGGCGGCGUGCCUAAUACAUGCAAGUCGAGCGAGCGGACGAGAAGCUUGCUUCUCUGAUGUUAGCGGCGGACGGGUGAGUAACACGUGGAUAACCUACCUAUAAGACUGGGAUAACUUCGUGAAACCGGAGCUAAUACCGGAUAAUAUUUUGAACCGCAUGGUUCAAAAGUUAAAGACGGUCUUCCUGUCACUUAUAGAUGGAUCCGCGCUGCAUUAGCUAGUUGGUAAGGUAACGGCUUACCAAGGCAACGAUGCAUAGCCGACCUGAGAGGGUGAUCGGCCACACUGGAACUGAGACACGGUCCAGACUCCUACGGGAGGCAGCAGUAGGGAAUCUUCCGCAAUGGGCGAAAGCCUGACGGAGCAACGCCGCGUGAGUGAUGAAGGUCUUCGGAUCGUAAAACUCUGUUAUUAGGGAAGAACAUAUGUGUAAGUAAAUGUGCACAUCUUGACGGUACCUAAUCAGAAAGCCACGGCUAACUACGUG